rnacentral:tRNA from 1 species
GUCAGUUUGUCCGAGUGGUUAAGGAGAAAGACUUGAAAUCUUUUGGGCUUUGCCCACACAGGUUCGAAUCCUGUAGCUGACG